rnacentral:rRNA from 1 species
AUUGAACGCUGGCGGCAUGCUUUACACAUGCAAGUCGAACGGCAGCGCGGGGGCAACCCUGGCGGCGAGUGGCGAACGGGUGAGUAAUACAUCGGAACGUGCCUAGUAGUGGGGGAAACUACUCGAAAGAGUGGCUAAUACCGCAUGAGAUCUAUGGAUGAAAGCAGGGGACCUUCGGGCCUUGUGCUACUAGAGCGGCCGAUGGCAGAUUAGGUAGUUGGUGGGAUAAAAGCUUACCAAGCCUGCGAUCUGUAGCUGGUCUGAGAGGACGAUCAGCCACACUGGGACUGAGACACGGCCCAGACUCCUACGGGAGGCAGCAGUGGGGAAUUUUGGACAAGUGGGGGAAACCCUGAUCCAGCAAUGCCGCGUGCAGGAUGAAGGCCUUAGGGUUGUAAACUGCUUUUGUACGGAACGAAAAGACUCUUUCUAAUAAAGAGGGUCCAUGACGGUACCGUAAGAAUAAGCACCGGCUAACUACGUGCCAGCAGCCGCGGU